UUUUUUUAUUUAUUUAUGAUAGUCACAGAGAGAGAGAGAGGCAGAGACACAGGCAGAGGGAGAAGCAGGCCCCAUGCACCGGGAGCCCGACAUGGGAUUCGAUCCUGGGUCUCCAGGAUCACGCCCUGGGCCAAAGGCAGGCGCCAAACCGCUGCGCCACCCAGGGAUCCCGUUUCUUCUCUUUAUAAAUACAGGUCUCCUAUAUUAGAUAUUCAAACUCUUUUAUGGGUUCUGGUGCCUUUCCAAUACACCUCUCACUCCACAAUCACAUUGUCCACCUCACCUUACUGCACAACACUUCACUUUUCUAUCUCUGGUAUCUACUUUGGUCUUCACAAUAAUCUUGUGAGGUAGGGCUGCCAGACAUUGUGUGCAUUUCUGUUUUACCUCCUAUGUGAAAAUUUCUGCUUCUUAUAAAUAGUGUAGUUAUAAGAAAAUUAAUUAUGCUUCAAUAAUUUUAUAGUGCCCAGUGAAAUACCAGGAGAAAUGGUAAGGUGUUAUAAAAACAGAUUGAAGAAUUUCUGACUUAAGAGUAAGAACCAUCUUAGGUAUAUAGUGAAAUAAACCUGGAACCAAGCUAAUAAGAAAGAGAGUGGCAUUGAGUAAGUGCCAAAAAAUCCUGGAGCUACACAUAAAAUAAUGCCAUAUGAGGUUUCUCAGCCUCUUCUAUGUUUUUCAUGCAUGCCUCUCAGGCCACAUAUUGAUCGUUAAUUACACAUCGUUUGCACUCACACUUCCAUUGACCCAAACUAGUUAUGACAUCCCAAACUAACCACACUGCUGAAAUAUGUAGAGGAACAUAUAGAGUGUUUGGUGAAUACUAUGUGCUAUGAAUAUGCAGAAUGAUUUUAAUUCUUAGAGAGUCAGAGCUGAAAAAAUAUUUUAGGAAACAUCUCAUCUAGUCUUCUUCCAUAUAGAAACAGAGGUUAAAACAUUGCAUGACUUGACCAAAGUUGCAUAUCCAAGGAGUGACUAAAGGAAGAGUUGCCUUCACAAUUAACAGUAUUUAUUGAGGUCUUGAUAUGUGCCAAGCAGUAUGACAAUACAUUGUUGUGCCUUAUCUCCCUAAGCCCCCACACUACCCCUAUGAGGAAGACACUGUUAUUAUCUUCAUUUUAAGGAUGAAAAAAUUAGGGGUCCUUGGGUAGCUCAGUUGGUUAAGUGACUGCCUUUAGCUCAGGUCGUGAUCCCAGGGUCCCAGGAUCAAGUCCCGUAUCAGGCUCCCUGGGAGCCUGCUUCCCCCUGCCUCUGCCUCUCUCUCUCUCUCUCUCUCUCUCUCUCCUCUCCCUCAAAUAAAUAAAUAAAAUCUUUGAAAAAAAUAAAGAUAAGAUAAUUAAAGCUUAGAAAAGACAGGUAAAACAUUUAAGAUCACAUAGUUCUUAAAUGGUAGAAGGGAGACUUAAACCCAGGAUGCCUAUGAUCAAAAUGCCAACAUGCAAUCUACCAGUAGAUGGCUACUCUUUUUGUUCUGGUUACCAAAUCCUCCAUCUGAAAAUACCAACAGACUACAUGGCUUUGGGAUUAAAUAUAAAAGUCCUCAUCAAAAAAUAAUGUUACAGGGAUGCCUGGGUGGCUUAGCAGUUGGGCGUCUGCCUUCAGCCCAGGGCAUGAUCCUGGAGUCCCGGGACUAAGUCCCACAUCAGGAUCCCUGCAUGGAGCCUGCUUCUCUCUCUGCCUGUGUCUCUGACUCUCUCAAUGUAUCUCAUGAAUAAAUAAAUAAAAUUUUUAAAAAUUGAUGCUACAGGUAUCUUAAGACCAAAACUAUUCCAAUAUCCUUACUUAUCUAGAAGACAGGUUGAAGUUGCUUGUGAAAGCAGAAAGAAAGCAGUGAUGAUAAAUAUAAACAAAUCAGACUGGAUCCUCAUGGUGGAACUUGCUCCUGGCUAUGAACAGGGUUUUUCUUUUAAGGCAUAUGAAUAUUUUCUGUCAUAUGAGAAGUAGCCAAUACAGAGCACCAGAUAAUGAACAUUAACUUAUACACGCAGGGUAGAUAAAUGGAGAAAACAAAUAAUGCUUAAGAAGCAAAUACUAAAUCAAGUAUUAUGGUAAUUUCUUGUGGUUCUUGACAGCAGUGCUUGGAGGUUGAGUUAUAAUUGUUCACAUCUGCUCAUCAGGUCAGAGAGUAGGCAUCAAUGCCUAGAGUUUUUGUUUUGAGACAUUGGAUAUUUUGUCAUCAACACACAAUUCUUCAUUUAUAAUGAAAAAGACAAGAUUAGAUUACAGAAUUGUUUCUAAUCAAGAUUAAAUUAUAUGAUGUGUUUUGUGCAGUACCUGGAAUAUAAUAGGCACUCAAUAAAUAGAAAUUGAUGCUAUUGUUCUUCUUCUAAUUAUUAUUACACACCUUCACCAGAGAAUCAUACAGAACCAGUUUUCCCCCACUUUCAACUUUGUUGUUAUUGCAAGAUUCUUUAUCCCAGUACAGAGUGACAAUUUCACUCAGGAGAAAUUGGAUAUGAUUUAAAAACUACUCAUCCUAUUUAUUUAACUGAAGUGACUGCUUGCCUGUUUGAAUUCACCAAACUGCCAGGUUUAGAUCCAGCUUGCAGUUAGAGGCCACCAAUAGGAAGGCACAGGCCCACACAGUUCCUAAAACAUAUGGAUACAGGCCAGGAUAAACAUGAGAUAAUUAACUGAGUAUCAGUCCAAAUAACUGUUUUGGAGGAAAAAUAAGUUCCUGUUAUCUAGUCUUGAUGAAGUCUCCUGGGGAAGGAAACAUGCUGUCCAGGAAAAACCAGUGUAGUUGUCAUCAGAAGAACUGGUAGGAGUCCCAACUCUUGUUAUUAAUUUGUUAAGAAC
rnacentral:lncRNA from 1 species